rnacentral:rRNA from 1 species
UAGGGAAUCUUCCACAAUGGACGCAAGUCUGAUGGAGCAACGCCGCGUGAGUGAAGAAGGUUUUCGGACCGUAAAGCUCUGUUGUUGGUGAAGAAGGAUAGAGGUAGUAACUGGCCUUUAUUUGACGGUAAUCAACCAGAAAGUCACGGCUAACUACGAGCCAGCAGCCGCGGUAAUACGUAGGUGGCAAGCGUUGUCCGGAUUUAUUGGGCGUAAAGCGAGCGCAGGCGGAAGAAUAAGUCUGAUGUGAAAGCCCCUCGGCUUAACCGAGGAAUUGCAUCGGAAACUGUUUUUCUUGAGUGCAGAAGAGGAGAGUAGAACUCCAUGUGUAGCGGUGGAAUGCGUAGAUAUAUGGAAGAAUACCAGUGGCGAAGGCGGCUCUCUGGUCUGCAACUGACGCUGAGGCUCGAAAGCAUGGGUAGCGAACAGGAUUAGAUACCCCUUGGUAG